CGCGGGUUGAAACUUUCGCAAGUCAUUUGAACCUCGCGCCAGUCGUUCCCCUACGCGCCGCCGGAGCACCACCACGCCGACGGAGCACCACCGCCCCCCGCGACGCCGUCCGUUCGCAUCACCGCGUGGUCUUCUUCAUCAGUGUCGUCCGCGCAUCCACGAGCGUCCUGUGCCAGCGUAAUCGAUGCGUGACGCCGUCCUCGCCCACGCUGCGUUGUACCACUCCGGCGUUCCCCACACCGCGCCGCCGUCCUGCACCCCUCGCGUGCUCCCAACGAGGCUCCUGCAACUCUCAACGUCGACAAUCACAGCGAGGACUUCGAGGAGCGCGCGGAGAGCGUCUUUCCCACCUUCAAGGUGAGCGCCUCCCUCUCAAUGCCCUUUAGGUGUUCGAGUUUUUGCAUAUGAGAACUAAUUCGCUGAUGUCCUAGCGUCGCCCGCGCCGUCGUCUUCCUCCACGCCGACGGAGGACUACCGCCACCCCCCGCACCGCCAUCCACAGGCCUCACGCCAUCCUCUUCUUCAAUGCCCAACGCCGUACCACACCAUGACUAGUCGUCGUGUGUUAUCCCGUCGCCGAAGAACCCUUAUGCAAGAAGAAGCAGCUGAUACCACUAGGACCGACAAACGGUGUCGGUGUCAAUGAGGGCAGUGACGGCGAGCAGGAAUGAAGCCCAAGCACUUGUCUAGACCUGGAUCAAGAUGACCAAGUUGACCAGGAGGAGGUUCCACCAGCCGAGGGGGCCCAAGGUUCGGGAAGCAGGAAGCCCAGAACCAAGUGAGCCUCUACACAGCUUCCUACUGGUCACUGGCACAUCAUAGAGUUGGAUGAAUACGGUGACCCGAUCCAACCGUCAGUAGCUUUGGCAAAAUACAGGACUGUCCUCGGCGCACUUGUAAGGGAUUUCAUCCCGAUCAAGUACAGGAGGUGGAAUGGGAAGCCAUGGAGGGUUCCUGAAAGUGAGAAGGAUUCCAUAUGGGACAACAAGAUCCCACAGUAUUUCACUUUUCCUGCGGAGUAUGACAAGGAGCUAGUCAAAAAAAGCAAAAGAAAUUCAAACACAACCGGCUCUUAGAUAUGGAGAUGGAGGCACUGCAAGGGGAGCUGGCCAAGUUCAUAUUAGCUGAGAUAUUGGAAAAAAAUGGAAGAUUUUCUGUUGCACGGUCCGUGAAGUACAAGAAUCAGUAUGGGCUAGAGAAGAUCCGAAGACUAGUGCAAUCAAACAUUUGAGUUGUAACCCUGUGUGCUGUAAUUUGUGGGGGGAUAAGAACAUUUUGUAAUGUUUUGUUGAUAAACUUGUCAUUCUAUGUUGCAAUUAUAUAUAAACCUGUCGUUCUACAAA